rnacentral:lncRNA from 1 species
GUUUUCAUAAUGAAUGCAGCAUCCCUGGGGAGUGAUCUGAAGCUGGCGAGGCAAUGAGAACACCCUGGCAGGGCAGCUGAGCUGGGUGGAUCCUUGUUCUGUCACCAAGCCUUUAAGUCAUAUGCUGACAUGUUACAGUCCUGCCUGGGACCCUGCCCACAAAUACUUAAGAUACACGACUUUGGGAAUCACCCAACUGAUGGAAAGAACCAGGAAAGGGGUCAGGAUCUGCACCUUGGCAAACUUUGAAGAACACCCAAUUUGAUGAAUGAAAACUCCUCACUUGUGCUCUGGUGGUGUUUUAGGACAAUGGGCCCCUCCUGGAUGCUCCAGUGAAGCCCCAUAUCACCUUUUUCCUUCCUGUUUGCCAUAGCUCCAGGUGUAGGGACAGAUCAGAAGAUUCUGGAAAAGGCAGAUCACCAAAGAACUCAAGAUGUACUGAUAUUUUGCCAGUUUCCUUCAUCAACAACUUGUCUUCUUUACCAACUAAGGGCAAACAAAGAGAACAAACUAAAAAAAAAAAAAAAAGAAAAGAAAAGAAUUAAAUAAUUAAACAAAGAACUUAAAUAAGAAGAAAGGUUGUACCUGCCUACAAGAUUAUCAACACCAUGUGAGAACAUCCACUUUGCUGAACUCUUUCUCACAUAUCACCUUUAGAGAUGUUACAUGGUGACCAACUGUCAUUAACUUUGGAUGUUUUUCCUGGAGGAGGAGAAUGUGCAGGAAUGAGAAGAAAAUACCAUCAGAAUCAUGUGGACCCACAUUCAUCCCUUACUUCACCCCUUCUGGGAAGGAACCCAGCAGGCUCAAAGAUAUGGAAAAUGCCACCAGAAAAACAGUACCUGGGACAGAGGGUUAACCUGACCAUUGUGGGAAUGUCAUUAAAUAUUUUUCUAAGAUAUAAUUUUUACUGACUAAUGCUUGUGCCAUUACUUAAACCAUUACCUUAAAUUGUUUUCUAAUAUAAAUAAUUCUGAGAUGAGCACCUAUGAAUAUAUAUUUUCUCCCAUCACUGAAGUGAGAUUGCUGAAUCAAACGAUGGAAGGUUUUGAAGACUCUGGAUACAGUUUUCUAAGUUCCUUUCUAGAAAAUUGUGUUAACAAACGCUCCCAAGAGCAAGGCAGAAGAAGACUGAUAAAUUUGUUCUUGUGACUUUCUCAGGAUGUGGACUUUGGAG